UCAGGUAAUUCAACUUUGGGACUAAUGAGACAGAGUGCUCAAGUUCUAUACAGUUUAAAAUAAAUAUUUGCUUUCUUUGAACAUUCCUCUUGAUGAAGCUUUUGACACUUUAGCCAAAACAAUCACCCUUCUAGCAUGAGGUUGUUGGCUCUGAGGCUGGGUUGGAUCUUAAGUCUCAUUCUAAAGUUUUUUUUUUUUUUCAUUCUCUAAGUUUAUGUUGUUUCCUUCAUUCUAUUUUCUUUCCUUCACCGCAUCUUGAGGUGGUGUAUAUCCAGAUUGUGCCGGAGUUUUCCCAUUCUCCCUUGGUAGCAGUGACUCGAUGGUGAGAGUCUUGCUCGUUGGUUGCUCAUACGUAAUAUCUCUUUGGCUUGAUAGGGGAAUUGAAUAUCUCAUGACGUCAUUCGUUUGCGAACUCCUUCACGCGUUUCUCAUAAGUGUCCACCAUAUUUGGAGCACGUAUUGACAGCUGGUUG
rnacentral:lncRNA from 1 species